rnacentral:lncRNA from 1 species
CCUUUCCUCCUCCCAAUGUUUGAGGUUAUCAAGAUGGUUGUUGCUUCCGUUGCGUCCGUAGUAUAUUUAGGCUUCGCCGGUGUAACACUCAGUGGUUCAGCCGUGGCAUUAGCCGUAUCCACCCCUCUUUUCAUCAUAUUCAGUCCGAUUCUCUUACCUGCUAUUGCAGCCACUACUGUCCUAGCCGCCGGGCUCGGAGGUAAAAAAGUGGCGGCGGCUCCGGAAGCUUCUCCGGCAGCUUCGCCAUCCCUAUCUCUGUUGGGCAUACCGGAGAGCAUUAAACCAAGUAAUAUUAUACCGGAGAGUAUUAAACCAAGUAAUAUUAUACCGGAGGGUAUUAAACCAAGUAAUAUUAAGGACAAAAUUAAGGAUACGAUAGGCAAAGUUAAGAAUAAGAUCAAAGCUAAAAAGGAAGAAAAAUCCAAAGGUAAAAGUGAAGAUUCUUCCAAGGGUAAAGGUAAAUCAAAGGGUGAAGAUACGACUACGGAUGACGAUACGACUACGGAUGAAGACAAACACGGAAGUGGAGCUAAACACGGAAAGGGAGAGAGUAAACACGGAAAAGGUGAGAGUACACACGGAAAGGGAGGUAAACAUGGAAGUGAAGGUAAGCAUGGAAGUGGAGGUUCGUCUAUGGGUGGAGGUAAACACGGAAGCGGAGGUAAACAUGAAACUGGAGGUAAACACGGAAGCGGAGGUAAACAUGAAAGUGGAGGUUCGCCUAUGGGUGGAGGUAAACAUGGAAGUGAAGGUAAGCAUGGAAGUGGAGGUGCGUCUAUGGGUGGAGGUAAACACGGAAGCGGAGGUAAACAUGAAAGUGGAGGUUCGGCUAUGGGUGGAGGUAAGCACGGAAGUGGAGGCAAACACGGAAGUGAAGGUAAACACGGGGGUGAAGGCUCUUCUAUGGGUAAAAAUAGUCUAUCCAAGAAGAAAAAGGAAUUCCAUUAUAGAGGUCAAGCUAUGGAUGCAAGUAGUACAAGUGAAAGUUCAGAUGGAAGUUCAGAUGGCAGCAGUUCAGAUGGAAGUUCACAUGGGAGUGGUGGUAAACACAUAUGAGUAAAAGUAAAUUCAUGGAAGAAUAAAAGACAUUGGUGGACCUAUUCCAAUGUUUAGCAUAUGAUGUCUAUUAUAGUUAUGAAUUGUAUGGCAUUAUAAGAAAAAAAAAACACUUUUAAAAACUUUUAUGUUUAUACAUGUAAUGGUUAAAACUGAUUAUAUGAUAAGACAAAAAGACUAUUAUGAUACAUUGUAUAGUUAAGAUAUAAAAAUAGUAUAAUGUGGUAACAGUUAUUUCAAUUCCUAGGACCCGGUUUAAUUUUUUUUAUUCACACUGAACUUUACGUCUUGUGCUAUAGUUUGAAUCAGGCCCGACCCAUCAUAUAUGGUGCUUAGAUCAAAAACAUUUAUGUACCCUUAACAUGGUUAGAACCGGGCACGUAUUGGACAAUUGAAACAUAAUUAACAACGACACCAUAAUUAAUAUUGAAAAUUAAUGUCCUCUAAAACAAAACUAGAGCUACUAUAUAUUUAGAAUUUCAACAUAUAAAACCAUGAUGGGAAUGACUGAUGAUGGUUCUCUAACCCUCGACUGGUUUGGUGAAACUUUAGCAACAUGAACCCGAGCCGUGCUUGUUAAAGAAAAUUUAAAGCAUUGGCUUAGGGUAUCAUUUUAUGCAAAAUUUAUAUAUAGAGCAUAUUUUAGAACUUUUAUUUUUAACAUCAUAUUCAUCUUAGGUUAAAUUUGUCUAUCUAACAAAAUAUUAAAUACCACACAUGCUAAUCAUGAGUAGCCGAUAUACGGACCCAAUACAAAAUACACACAUAUAUAGCUAAGAUAUAUAUGAGUUUUACAAUGAAACAUGCAUUUAUAUAUAAUACUCCCUCUAUUUUAAUUUAUUUGAUGUUUAAUUAUUAUUUUUUUGUAAAAUAAGUGAUGUUCUUAUUAAUCUAGAUAAAAAUUUAAUGUUGUUUGAGAUUUGUGACCAAUUACAUAAUUGAUAAUACUACAUUUUUUAUUGGGUAAUUUAGUUCUAUCUUUUGUGUAAUUAAGAUAAAUUGUAUGGAACUUUACAAGUUCUUAAUCUUUGUGCAUUAAUCUUAAACACCUAUUAAAUUAAAUAAAGGGAACACAUAAUUUGCUAUGAAAAUAAUAUGUUUGUUUGAAAAUGAAUAACCGAUCAAUUGUUUUUCAUUCUAUUUAUUAUGUAUUGGAAUAUGCCUAUACUCAAAUUUGUUAUCGAUUCUUUCUUUUUUUUUAUAUAUAUAUAUAAAAACCAGAUUUCAGUUAUUUUUGAAGUUCUUUCCAAAAUACAUAUUUUAGUAAGAUAUAUGUUUGAAGUUUGUUGAUAAAAAAAAAGAGAGUAAGAUAUAUGUUUAUUGAGUAUUCAGUGAUUUCCACAAAGUCUAUGGUCUAUUCUUUUCAAAAAAAGAGUUUGGGAUCUAAUCUAAAAAUAAACUCUAUUGGGUAUUCCACCUUAUAAUAAUAAUAAUAAUAAUAAUAAUAAUAAUAAGGGCAAUUGUCAAUAAUAGCACCUUUUGAAGUUUAUGUCUCGAAAAUAGCACUAGAAGGAGAAAGUCACAAAAAUAACAUUCAUUAAAGGGUAAAAUAUCCCUAAUACUCUUGGUUUAAAAUUAAAUAAACAAACAAAAAUAAAUAAAAAUAAAUAAAAUAAAAAUUAAAAAAAUGAAAAAAAGAUUUUUUUUUUUUUUAUAGUUUCAGAUUAUAUGUUUUCAGAUUCGAAAUUUUUAUAAUUUUUUUUUUCGAAUUUUUUUUUUUUUUUUUUUAUGGUUGUUGCUUCCGUUGCGUCCGUAGUCUAUUUAGGCUUCGCCGGUGUAACACUCAGUGGUUCAGCCGUGGCAUUAGCCGUAUCCACCCCUCUUUUCAUCAUAUUCAGUCCGAUUCUCUUACCUGCUAUUGCAGCCACUACUGUCCUAGCCGCCGGGCUCGGAGGUAAAAAAGUGGCGGCGGCUCCGGAAGCUUCUCCGGCAGCUUCGCCAUCCCUAUCUCUGUUGGGCAUACCGGAGAGCAUUAAACCAAGUAAUAUUAUACCGGAGAGUAUUAAACCAAGUAAUAUUAUACCGGAGGGUAUUAAACCAAGUAAUAUUAAGGACAAAAUUAAGGAUACGAUAGGCAAAGUUAAGAAUAAGAUCAAAGCUAAAAAGGAAGAAAAAUCCAAAGGUAAAAGUGAAGAUUCUUCCAAGGGUAAAGGUAAAUCAAAGGGUGAAGAUACGACUACGGAUGACGAUACGACUACGGAUGAAGACAAACACGGAAGUGGAGCUAAACACGGAAAGGGAGAGAGUAAACACGGAAAAGGUGAGAGUACACACGGAAAGGGAGGUAAACAUGGAAGUGAAGGUAAGCAUGGAAGUGGAGGUUCGUCUAUGGGUGGAGGUAAACACGGAAGCGGAGGUAAACAUGAAACUGGAGGUAAACACGGAAGCGGAGGUAAACAUGAAAGUGGAGGUUCGCCUAUGGGUGGAGGUAAACAUGGAAGUGAAGGUAAGCAUGGAAGUGGAGGUGCGUCUAUGGGUGGAGGUAAACACGGAAGCGGAGGUAAACAUGAAAGUGGAGGUUCGGCUAUGGGUGGAGGUAAGCACGGAAGUGGAGGCAAACACGGAAGUGAAGGUAAACACGGGGGUGAAGGCUCUUCUAUGGGUAAAAAUAGUCUAUCCAAGAAGAAAAAGGAAUUCCAUUAUAGAGGUCAAGCUAUGGAUGCAAGUAGUACAAGUGAAAGUUCAGAUGGAAGUUCAGAUGGCAGCAGUUCAGAUGGAAGUUCACAUGGGAGUGGUGGUAAACACAUAUGAGUAAAAGUAAAUUCAUGGAAGAAUAAAAGACAUUGGUGGACCUAUUCCAAUGUUUAGCAUAUGAUGUCUAUUAUAGUUAUGAAUUGUAUGGCAUUAUAAGAAAAAAAAAACACUUUUAAAAACUUUUAUGUUUAUACAUGUAAUGGUUAAAACUGAUUAUAUGAUAAGACAAAAAGACUAUUAUGAUACAUUGUAUAGUUAAGAUAUAAAAAUAGUAUAAUGUGGUAACAGUUAUUUCAAUUCCUAGGACCCGGUUUAAUUUUUUUUAUUCACACUGAACUUUACGUCUUGUGCUAUAGUUUGAAUCAGGCCCGACCCAUCAUAUAUGGUGCUUAGAUCAAAAACAUUUAUGUACCCUUAACAUGGUUAGAACCGGGCACGUAUUGGACAAUUGAAACAUAAUUAACAACGACACCAUAAUUAAUAUUGAAAAUUAAUGUCCUCUAAAACAAAACUAGAGCUACUAUAUAUUUAGAAUUUCAACAUAUAAAACCAUGAUGGGAAUGACUGAUGAUGGUUCUCUAACCCUCGACUGGUUUGGUGAAACUUUAGCAACAUGAACCCGAGCCGUGCUUGUUAAAGAAAAUUUAAAGCAUUGGCUUAGGGUAUCAUUUUAUGCAAAAUUUAUAUAUAGAGCAUAUUUUAGAACUUUUAUUUUUAACAUCAUAUUCAUCUUAGGUUAAAUUUGUCUAUCUAACAAAAUAUUAAAUACCACACAUGCUAAUCAUGAGUAGCCGAUAUACGGACCCAAUACAAAAUACACACAUAUAUAGCUAAGAUAUAUAUGAGUUUUACAAUGAAACAUGCAUUUAUAUAUAAUACUCCCUCUAUUUUAAUUUAUUUGAUGUUUAAUUAUUAUUUUUUUGUAAAAUAAGUGAUGUUCUUAUUAAUCUAGAUAAAAAUUUAAUGUUGUUUGAGAUUUGUGACCAAUUACAUAAUUGAUAAUACUACAUUUUUUAUUGGGUAAUUUAGUUCUAUCUUUUGUGUAAUUAAGAUAAAUUGUAUGGAACUUUACAAGUUCUUAAUCUUUGUGCAUUAAUCUUAAACACCUAUUAAAUUAAAUAAAGGGAACACAUAAUUUGCUAUGAAAAUAAUAUGUUUGUUUGAAAAUGAAUAACCGAUCAAUUGUUUUUCAUUCUAUUUAUUAUGUAUUGGAAUAUGCCUAUACUCAAAUUUGUUAUCGAUUCUUUCUUUUUUUUUAUAUAUAUAUAUAAAAACCAGAUUUCAGUUAUUUUUGAAGUUCUUUCCAAAAUACAUAUUUUAGUAAGAUAUAUGUUUGAAGUUUGUUGAUAAAAAAAAAGAGAGUAAGAUAUAUGUUUAUUGAGUAUUCAGUGAUUUCCACAAAGUCUAUGGUCUAUUCUUUUCAAAAAAAGAGUUUGGGAUCUAAUCUAAAAAUAAACUCUAUUGGGUAUUCCACCUUAUAAUAAUAAUAAUAAUAAUAAUAAUAAUAAUAAGGGCAAUUGUCAAUAAUAGCACCUUUUGAAGUUUAUGUCUCGAAAAUAGCACUAGAAGGAGAAAGUCACAAAAAUAACAUUCAUUAAAGGGUAAAAUAUCCCUAAUACUCUUGGUUUAAAAUUAAAUAAACAAACAAAAAUAAAUAAAAAUAAAUAAAAUAAAAAUUAAAAAAAUGAAAAAAAGAUUUUUUUUUUUUUUAUAGUUUCAGAUUAUAUGUUUUCAGAUUCGAAAUUUUUAUAAUUUUUUUUUUCGAAUUUUUUUUUUUUAUUUUUUUUUCAAAUUUUCUUUUUCAAAUUUUCUUUUUAUAAUUUAAAAAUACUUUUUAAAACUGUUUUUAAAAUUUUAUUUUUUAUUUUAUAUUUUUUUUUUAUAAAAUGGGUGGAGGUAAACACGGAAGCGGAGGUAAACAUGAAAGUGGAGGUGCGUCUAUGGGUGGAGGUAAACACGGAAGCGGAGGUAGACAUGAAGGUGGAGGUUCGGCUAUGGGUGGAGGUAAGCACGGAAGUGGAGGCAAACACGGAAGUGAAGGUAAACACGGGGGUGAGGGCUCUUCUAUGGGUAAAAAUAGUCUAUCCAAGAAUAAAAAAGAAUUCCAUUAUAGAGGUCAAGCUAUGGAUGCAAGUAGUACAAGUGAAAGUUCAGAUGGCAGCAGUUCAGAUGGCAGCAGUUCAGAUGGCAGCAGUUCAGAUGGAAGUUCACAUGGGAGUGGUGGUAAACACAUAUGAGUAAAAGUAAAUUCAUGGAAGAAUAAAAGACAUUGGUGGACCUAUUCCAAUGUUUAGCAUAUGAUGUCUAUUAUAGUUAUGAAUUGUAUGGCAUUAUAAGAAAAAAAAAACUUUAAAAAACUUUUAUGUUUAUAAUAUGCAUGUAAUGGUUAAAACUGAUUAUAUGAUAAGACAAAAAGACUAUUAUGAUACAAUGUAUAGUGAAGAUAUAAAAAUAGUAUAAUGUGGUAACAGUUAUUUCAAUUCUUCUUGAAAGGACCCGGUUUAAUUUUUUUUUCACACUGAACUUUCAUUGAUAAAACAUCAAGGUCUAAUACAAAGGUGGGAUACAAUCAAAGGAUACAAAGCCGGCAGAUAUCCAAUCUAGGGAGAUAAAGCCCCAACAAGAGGAGUCAUAUGGAUGAUAAUCGUUUACGUCUUGUGCUAUAGUUUGAAUCAGGCCCCACCCAUCAUAUAUGGUGCUUAGAUCAAAAAUAUUUAUGUACCCUUAACAUAGUUAGAACCGGGCACGUAUUGAACAAUUGAAACAUAAUUAACAACGACACCAUAAUUAAUAUUGAAAAUUAAUGUCCUCUAAAUUAAUACGUUUUGGCGUCUAAAACAUCAAAAUUCAUGGGUUUUAGCCAAGAACUAGCCCUGGUUGGAAGGUACAAAUAACGAAUUCGGAGAUUGUAAGAACAUUAUCGUCUAAUCAAAUUAUUCUAGUUUGAAUUUGAUAAGAUAACACUCUUAAAACAAAACUAGAGCUACUAUAUAUUUAGGAUUUCAACAUAUAAAACCAUGAUGGGAAUGACUGAUGAUGGUUCUCUAACCCUCGACUGGUUUGGUGAAACUUUAGCAACAUGAACCCGAGCCGUGCUUGUUUAAGAAAAUUUAAAGCAUUGGCUUUAGGGGAUCAUUUUACGCAAAUUUAUAUAUAGAGCAUAUUUUAGAACUUUUAUUUUUAACAUCACAUUCAUCUUAGGUUAAAUUUGUCUCGUGUAUCUAACACAAUAUUAAAUAUCACACAUACUAAUCAUGAGUGGCCGAUAUACGGACCCAAUACAAAAUACACACAUAUAUAGCUAAGAUAUAUAUGAGUUUUACAAUGAAACAUGCAUUUAUAUAUAAUACUCCCUCUAUUUUAAUUUAUUUGAUGUUUAAUGAUUUUUUUUUGUAAAAUAAGUGAUGUUCUUAUUAAUCUAGAUAAAAAUUUAAUGUUGUUUGAGAUUUGUGACCAAUUACAUAAUUGAUAAUACUACAUUUUUUAUUGGGUAAUUUAGUUCUAUCUUUUGUGUAAUUAAGAUAAAUUGUAUGGAACUUUACAAGUUCUUAAUCUAUGUGCAUUAAUCUUAAACACCUAUUAAAAUUAAACAAAGGGAACACAUAAUUUGCUAUGAAAAUAAUAUGUUUGUUUGGAAAUGAAUAACCGAUCAAUUUUUUGUUUGCAUUCUAUUUAUUAUGUAUUGGAAUAUGUCUAUACUCAAUUUUUUGAGGUUCUUUCCAAAAUACAUAUUUUAGUAAGAUAUAUGUUUGAAGUUUGUUGAUCAAAAAUAAGAGAGUAAGAUAUAUGUUUAUUGAGUAUUCAAUGAUUUCCACAAAGUUUAUGGUCUAUUUUAUUCAAAAAAAAAGUUUGGGAUCUAAUCUAAAAUAAAUUCUAUUGGGUAUACCACCUUAUAAUAAUAAUAAUAACAAUAAUAAUAAUAAAUUUAUAUUUUGGUCAAAAAUAAUUUAAUUAUAUAAUUAGAUAUUAGUUUAGAGAUGAGGUGAGUCGUUACCAUAACUUUUCAUAAGUUUCUAAAGAUUGUUUAAAAAGUUGAUUUUUAUUCUUUCUCAUUUUCUUUAAUAGUUAGAGAUUCUUUAAGAACAUUUUUAAUUGUAAAUCUCAAAAUGUCAGUUUGUCGUGUUUGAGCUCGUACCAGAAACAAAUGAAGGCUCAAAAAACAUGACGACUACUACACACAUUGAAUGGAAUAUGACGUGACGUUAUGUAACGUAGAUCUCUAUUUGCACCCACUGUUUUGCAUGUACAGCUUCAUAUAUAAAAUCUAUCUCUUCCCACCUCUACCAAUGAACAACCAUCCAAUCUGAGAAUAUGAGCGAAGAACUCGUUCAACACGAAUCUCAUUCUCAGGCAUCGAUAUUUAGCCGUUUUUUCAGAAUGUUCUCUUUUAUCUUCCCAUUGCUGAACGUUAUAAAGCUUAUUAUAGCUUCCGUGACCUCCUUAGUCUGCUUAGCGUUUUCUUGUGUGACACUCGGUGGUUCAGCCGUGGCAUUAAUCGUAUCCACACCACUUUUCAUCAUGUUUAGUCCAAUUCUCGUACCCGCUACUAUUGCCACUACCCUCCUAGCCAGUGGGCUCAUGGCCGGUACCACCCUCGGACUGACCGGCAUAGGUCUCAUCAUGGGGCUCGUUAGGUAAUAUUAGACAUAUUCUAUUGAGAUCACUAGAGAGUUUUGUUUACAUAUUAUUUGAAAACAUUUCAACGUAACUAAUAAGAAUAUGGCACAAGGUUUCAAUUAUAUAAUUAACAUCUGAAAUAUAUACAUUUAUGUGAUGUGUGAUAGGACUGCAGGAGGAGUUUCAUUGCUCCAAUCACCAUUAAGAAAAAUCAUAGUAAAUAGAAUUAAAGCAAGACUUGGGGGUGGCGGUGGCGGUUCACGUCUGGCGAGGCUCAAAAAAAUCCUGGGAUUAUUAAACAAGCUCCGUGGUAUGGGUGCAGGUGGAGCUGCUGCCCCUGCGGCUGAACCUGCCCCUGCGGCUGAAGCUGCACCUGCGGCUGAAGCUGCACCUGCGGCUGCACAUGCAGCUGCACCUGCGGCUGCACCCUAAUUACUUUAAGAAUUUAUGACUCGUAAACUAAAAGGAAAAUAACUUUUUUACUAUGUUUUAUGUAAUAAAUUGUUUCUGUAGUAAAAAAAUAAAAAUAUUAUGUGUAAUGUUUAAUUUGCUUAGAAUUAUAAAAGACUGAUACAUAGUUGACUG